GGCCCAGACUCCUACGGGAGGCAGCAGUGGGGAAUAUUGCACAAUGGGGGAAACCCUGAUGCAGCCAUGCCGCGUGUGUGAAGAAGGCCUUCGGGUUGUAAAGCACUUUCAGCGAGGAGGAAAGGUUGAUGCCUAAUACGUAUCAACUGUGACGUUACUCGCAGAAGAAGCACCGGCUAACUCCGUGCCAGCAGCCGCGGUAAUACGGAGGGUGCAAGCGUUAAUCGGAAUUACUGGGCGUAAAGCGCACGCAGGCGGUUGGAUAAGU
rnacentral:rRNA from 1 species